rnacentral:rRNA from 1 species
GACGAACGCUGGCGGCGUGCUUAACACAUGCAAGUCGAACGAAGUGGCGAACGGGUGAGUAACGCGUAAUCAACCUGCCCUUCAGGGGGGGACAACAGUUGGAAACGAAUGCUAAUCCCGCAUACUGAAGGAGGGGAGUGCGUCUGAUUAGCUAGUUGGAGGGGGAACGGCCCACCAAGGCGAUGAUCAGUCGGCGGGCUGAGAGGAUGAACCGCCACAUGGGGACUGGGACACGGCCCAGACUCCUACUGGAGGCAGGAGUGGGGAAUCUUUCGACAUGGAGGAAAGUCUGACGGAGCAACGCCGCGUGAGUGAUGACGGCCUUCGGGUUGUAAAGCUCCGUUAAUCGGGACGCGGUACCGGAAGAGAAAGCCACGGCUAACUCCGUGCCAGCAGCCGCGGUAAUAC